GGGGAUUAGAUACCCCCACUAUGCUUAGCCCUAAACCUAAAUAAUUACCCCACAAAAUUAUUCGCCAGAGUACUACUAGCAACAGCCUAAAACUCAAAGGACUUGGCGGUGCUUCAUAUCCCUCUAGAGGAGCCUGUCCUAUAAUCGAUAAACCCCGAUAAACCUCACCAGCCCUUGCUAAUUCAGCCUAUAUACCGCCAUCCUCAGCAAACCCUAAAAAGGAGCCACAGUAAGCACAAACAUAAGACAUAAAAACGUUAGGUCAAGGUGUAGCCCAUGAGCUGGAAAGAGAUGGGCUACAUUUUCUUAUCAAAGAACACCAACAACCACACGAACUCCUUCAUGAAAUAGAAGGUCGAAGGUGGAUUUAGUAGUAAACCAAGAACAGAGAGCUUGGUUGAAUUAGGCCAUGAAGCACGCACACACCGCCCGUCACCCUACAA
rnacentral:rRNA from 1 species